rnacentral:rRNA from 1 species
UUGACUGUGCUAAGGUAGCAUAAUAAAUUGGCUUUUAAUUGAAGUCGGGAAUGAAAGGGUGUUUGGAGUUACUCUGUCUUAUUUUUAUUUUUUAAAAGUUACUAAUGAGGUGAAAAUUCCUCAAUGUUACUUGAUAGACGAGAAGACCCUAAGAAUUAUUACAACUAUUAAAGUAAAUUAAUAAAAGUUUUUGUUGGGGCAACAGCUUUGAUUAACCAAAGUUAAAAUUUAAUAUAAAAAGAGUAUAUUAAAAACGGAUUUAAUUACCUUAGGGAUAACAGCAUAAUUAUAUUUUAGAUUGUGACCUCGAUGUUGGAUUAAGGCCU